GAUGAACGCUGGCGGCGUGCCUAAUACAUGCAAGUCGAGCGAACAGAUGAGGAGCUUGCUCCUCUGACGUUAGCGGCGGACGGGUGAGUAACACGUGGAUAACCUACCUAUAAGACUGGGAUAACUUCGGGAAACCGGAGCUAAUACCGGAUAAUAUAUUGAACCGCAUGGUUCAAUAGUGAAAGACGGUUUUGCUGUCACUUAAAGAUGGAUCCGCGCCGCAUUAGCUAGUUGGUAAGGUAACGGCUUACCAAGGCAACGAUGCGUAGCCGACCUGAGAGGGAGGACGGGCAGACGUAGACUGAGAAACGGUACAGGCGCCAACGUGAGGGAGCAGUAGGGAAUAUUUCACAAUGGGCGAAAGCAUGAAGAACACACGUAGCGUGAAUGAAAAAGUUCUUCAGAACCUAAGACCCUCUUAUCGUUCACGAACCAAAGAGUAAGUGACAAUGCCCGUCCUGAAGCUACCUAAACAGAAAGCCACCACUCACCUCAAC
rnacentral:rRNA from 1 species